GAGAUAAUUUUUUAUAACAAAACCAUUAGCGCUCUACGCGAGCCGUUCACAACAUAAUAUCAUAGUUCGUAUCACUUAGUGUACGUUCACUGCGCGUAUCACUGGAGUAACAGUUACACUAGCACCGUGCUCGGGCGCUGUCCUCACUUCCGCAUACUGCAGCGCGCGCUGGCGCCGGUCGCGGUGCGCUGUGCACUGUGCGCAGUUUCUCAAAUACGGCCGCGUCGCUCCUAACCGCCGGGAGCCUCGCUCGCGAAUGCGACCGCCGAAAACUCCUCACAACGUCCGAAUGCAGAAAAUUCGGACGCGCCGAGUGGGGGGACGCUCUACGACUAUCCGAAACUUGCGCGCGUACGUGCAGCGCUUCGCUAUGAAAAAAUCCAAGGUUAACGCGCGCUGCCAAAAAAAGACGCACGCAAAAUGAAAAAAAGAUGGCUAGAGCGGCGCCCCUCGCGGGCGUCGCAGUGCAGCCGAUUCUGCACACGCCGUGUCUACCGCACUCAUAGUUUUCCCGUGAUCGGCAUCGCUCCAAGGCUCUGGGUAUUAGUGCCGCCCUCCUCAAAUUCCGCGCCUUCAUGAACACGACUACUACCUACCAUAAACACCUCUUACUACUCGUAAUUACGACUCGAAGCGAAAUUAUUCUAGUCUAAUUGUUAUAGGUUGCGGGGUCAGAUGGCAAUGGUUCUACGUAAAUCAAUAACCGGAUAGAUCCAGACUAGAAUAUUAAGCAGGCCCUGGUAAAAAUCCGGUUAAAAAACAGGUCGAUGAAGUUGUGAAAAUUAUUUAUACAUAGGUAUAUUGCUGAAUUGAGUUGAAGUUCAAUUAUAUAAUAUUGAAAAAAAAAUUUUUUUUAACUGUUUUAAUAAAAAAAUGUGUAAUUAUUUUAAAA